UACGAAGGGUGCAACCGUUGCUCGGAAUUAUUGGGCGUAAAGCGCACGUAGGCGGCUCCGCAAGUCGGAUGUGAAAUCCCUCGGCUCAACCAAGGAAGUGCAUCCGAAACUGCAGAGCUUGAGUACCAAAGAGGAUCGCGGAAUUCCCGGUGUAGAGGUGAAAUUCGUAGAUAUCGGGAGGAACACCAGUGGCGAAGGCGGCGAUCUGGGUGGAUACUGACGCUGAGGUGCGAAAGCGUGGGGAGCAAACAGG
rnacentral:rRNA from 1 species